AUUGAACGCUGGCGGCAGGCCUAACACAUGCAAGUCGAACGAGUGGCGGACGGGUGAGUAAUGUCUGGGAAACUGCCCGAUGGAGGGGAUUACCAACGGAAACGGUUGCCAAUACCCCAUACCAUUGGGUGGGCCCAGAAUGGAAUAGCUAGGAGGUGGGGUAACGGCUCACCUAGGCGACGAUCCCUAGCUGGUCUGAGAGGAUGACCAGCCACACUGGAACUGAGACACGGUCCAGACUCCUACGGGAGGCAGCAGUGGGGAAUAUUGCACAAUGGGCGCAAGCCUGAUGCAGCCAUGCCGCGUGUAUGAAGAAGGCCUUCGGGUUGUAAAGUACUUUCAGCGAGGAGGCGUUACUCGCAGAAGAAGCACCGGCUAACUCCGUGCCAGCAGCCGCGGUAAUUC
rnacentral:rRNA from 1 species